rnacentral:rRNA from 1 species
ACUUGAUAAAAGAAUUUUAGUUCUACCUAAAGCCCCCAAUAAAGUUUAAUAAACUAAUAUCUAUGCUUUAGAGUUAUUCAAUUAAGGUACAGCCUAUUUGAAUAAGGAAACAACCUAAACUAAUGGGUUAAAUUUUUACAGUGUACCAAAGUGGGCCUAAAAGCAGCCACCUUAAACAAUAGCGUCAAAGCUUUUCUACACAAGUAUAUUCAAUUUCAUAAACCAACCCAAACCCUUUAUUUUCAUCAAGUAAUUCUAUACACCUAUAGAAUAUAAAAUGUUAAAACUAGUAACAAGAAGCAAACCCUUCUCUUAAAUGUAAGUGUAAGCCAGAAAGGAUAAACCACUGUCAAUUAACACUAAUGAUUUUUAAUUAGCAACACCACAAGAAAACCCUAAUAAAACAAGUGUUAAACUAACACAAGAACAUUUCAAGAAAGAUUAAAAGAAAAAGAAGGAACUCGGCAAAUACUAACCCCGCCUGUUUACCAAAAACAUCGCCUCUUGACAAAUAUAAGAGGUCCAGCCUGCCCAGUGACCUAGUUCAACGGCCGCGGUAUCCUAACCGUGCGAAGGUAGCGUAAUCACUUGUUCUUUAAAUGAGGACUAGUAUGAACGGCAUCACGAGGGUUGCACUGUCUCCUUUUUUUAAUCAGUGAAACUAAUCUUCCCGUGAAGAAGCGGGAAUAUUACUAUAAGACGAGAAGACCCUAUGGAGCUUUAAACAAAUUAACACUUGCUGCCCAAAAUAACUUUUUUCAGAAACACAACACACAGCAUAGCAUGAUGAUUAAUAGUUUUCGAUUGGGGUGAUCACGGAGUAAAAAAUAACCUCCAUGCCGAAAGGGCUCUUCCCUGAGCAAAAAGCUACAACUUUAAGCACUAAAAAAAUUAACGUUAAUUGACCCAAUAUAUUGAUCAACGAACCAAGUUACCCUAGGGAUAACAGCGCAAUCCACUUCAAGAGCUCCUAUCGACAAGUGGGUUUACGACCUCGAUGUUGGAUCAGGGUAUCCUAGUGGUGCAGCCGCUACUAACGGUUCGUUUGUUCAACGAUUAAAACCCU